rnacentral:rRNA from 1 species
CCUACGGGAGGCUGCAGUGGGGAAUAUUGCACAAUGGGGGAAACCCUGAUGCAGCGACGCCGCGUGAGUGAAGAAGUAUUUCUGUAUUGAAGCUCUCUCUUCUGGGAAGAAAAAGACGGUACCUGAUAAAGAAGCCCCGGCUAACUACGUGCCAGCAGCCGCGGGAAUACGUAGGGGGCAAGCGUUAUCCGGAUUUACUGGGUGUAAAGGGUGCGUAGGCGGCAGGACAAGUCUGGAGUGAAAUGCCGGGGCUUAACCCCGGAACUGCUUUUGAAACUGUGCAGCUAGAGUGCAGGAGAGGUAAGGGGAAUUCCUAGUGUAGCGGUGAAAUGCGUAGAUAUUAGGAGGAACACCAGUGGCGAAGGCGGCUUACUGGACUGUAACUGACGUUGAGGCACGAAAGCGUGGGGAGCAAACAGGAUUAGAUACCCGGGUAGUC